AAGCCUAAGCCUAAGCCUAAGCCUAAGCCUAAGCCUAAGCCUAAGCCUAAGCCUAAGCCUAAGCCUAAGCCUAAGCCUAAGCCCAAGC
ensembl:ncRNA Y75B8A.56 ncRNA